GACGAACGCUGGCGGCGUGCCUAAUACAUGCAAGUAGGACGCAGUUGCGAACGGGUGAGUAACGCGUAGGUAACUACCUAUUAGAGGGGGCUAACUAUUGGAAACGAUAGCUAAUACCGCAUACUAGUAGAUGGACCUGCGUUGUAUUAGCUAGUAGGUAGGGUAAUGGCCUACCUAGGCAACGAUACAUAGCCGACCUGGGAGGGUGUUCGGCCACACUGGGACUGGGACCAGGGCCAGGAUCCUACGGGAGGCAGCAGGAGGGAAUCGUUGGACAUUGGGGGAACCCUGACCGAGCAACGCCGCGGGAUUGAAGAAGGUUUUCGGAUCGUAAAGCUCUGUUGUUAAGGAAGCGGUACUUAACCAGAAAGGGACGGCUAACUACGUGCCAGCAGCCGCGGUAAUAC
rnacentral:rRNA from 1 species